GACCUACGGGACGCAGCAGUGGGGAAUAUUGCACAAUGGGGGAAACCCUGAUGCAGCGACGCCGCGUGAGUGAAGAAGUAUUUCGGUAUGUAAAGCUCUAUCAGCAGGAACGAGACAAGACGGUACCUGACUAAGAAGCCCCGGCUAACUACGUGCCAGCAGCCGCGGUAAUACGUAGGGGGCAAGCGUUAUCCGGAUUUACUGGGUGUAAAGGGAGCGUAGACGGCAGCGCAAGUCUGGAGUGAAAUGCCGGGGCCCAACCCCGGAACUGCUCUGGAAACUGUGAAGCUGGAGUGCAGGAGAGG
rnacentral:rRNA from 1 species